rnacentral:rRNA from 1 species
CCAAUAGCGUAUAUUAAAGUUGCUGCAGUUAAAAAGCUCGUAGUUGAAUUUCGGGACCAAUAUGUCGGUCGUGCCUCGGUACGUACUGGCAUCGUUGGUUUCUCCCUUCUGACGAACCAUGAUGUCAUUCAUUUGGUGUCGUGGGGAAUCAGGACUGUUACUUUGAAAAAAUUAGAGUGUUUAAAGCAGGCUCACGCUUGAAUACAUUAGCAUGGAAUAAUGAAAUAGGACGUUUGAUUCUAUUUUGUUGGUUUCUAGGAUCGACGUAAUGAUUAAUAGGGAUAGUUGGGGGCAUUAGUAUUCAAUUGUCAGAGGUGAAAUUCUUGGAUUUAUUGAAGACUAACUACUGCGAAAGCAUUUGCCAAGGAUGUUUUCAUUAAUCAAGAACGAAAGUUAGGGGAUCGAAGACGAUCAGAUACCGUCGUAGUCUUAACCAUAAACUAUGCCGDCUASGGUCGGAUGUAUGUUAWUUUUAAUGUACUCAUUCGGGAACGGUUACGGGAAA